CGUGAUCCCGCCUAUCAACAUGAUUGGUUUCUCCCCUUCCUCGCGGAUACAACCAGGCUGCAUAUGCCCGUUGCCCGACUCCAAAAUGGCAGCCGCUCACUGCGCGCGCCCGAGCUGCUGGACCUCCUCGUUUCUCUUGCCUGCCCACCCCUCCCUCCGUUUCUUCUCUGGCCCUCACCUUUACGCCUCCCGAUUGGCUGGGAACAGUCCCGCCCUUCAAAAGCGGCCUUUGCCAUUGGCCGAAGCGCGCUGCCCCUCACAACGGCCCUCCCCCUCCUUCCCAUCCUCGCCCCCCGCCCCUCCCCCCCGCCCUCAGCCCCGGGAGGUAUUUUCCAUUCCGGUGGGGGUUGGGGGGGAGGGGAAAAGGCUGAGGAGGGAGUGGGGGGCCUUAGGAGAGGGGGAGGUGACCAGGGAAGAGGGGGGCAUCCGGUGGAGUCGGGGCCCCCAGGCUCCGUCAGGAGGAAGCGGGAAGGCGCCCUGGCGGUCACUGAAGUCGGGACGGGGCCGGCAGCCGGACUCGUCCGCACCCUGGCCGCGCCGCCCGGACCCGUCCUGCUGGGGCGCAGGUGCCCCUAGAGGAGGCCGCCCCGCGCCCCCGGGGCCCCCGCCGUAA
rnacentral:lncRNA from 1 species